UGGGGAAUAUUGCACAAUGCGCGCAAGCCUGAUGCAGCCAUGCCGCGUGUAUGAAGAAGGCCUUCGGGUUGUAAAGUACUUUCAGCGGGGAGGAAGGCGAUAAGGUUAAUAACCUUGUCGAUUGACGUUACCCGCAGAAGAAGCACCGGCUAACUCCGUGCCAGCAGCCGCGGUAAUACGGAGGGUGCAAGCGUUAAUCGGAAUUACUGGGCGUAAAGCGCACGCAGGCGGUCUGUCAAGUCGGAUGUGAAAUCCCCGGGCUCAACCUGGGAACUGCAUUCGAAACUGGCAGGCUAGAGUCUUGUAGAGGGGGGUAGAAUUCCAGGUGUAGCGGUGAAAUGCGUAGAGAUCUGGAGGAAUACCGGUGGCGAAGACGGCCCCCUGGACAAAGACUGACGCUCAGGUGCGAAAGCGUGGGGAGCAAACA
rnacentral:rRNA from 1 species